rnacentral:rRNA from 1 species
GUGGGGGAUAUUGCACAAUGGGGGAAACCCUGAUGCAGCGACGCCGCGUGAGCGAUGAAGUAUUUCGGUAUGUAAAGCUCUAUCAGCAGGGAAGAAAAUGACGGUACCUGACUAAGAAGCCCCGGCUAACUACGUGCCAGCAGCCGCGGUAAUACGUAGGGGGCAAGCGUUAUCCGGAUUUACUGGGUGUAAAGGGAGCGUAGACGGCGGUACAAGUCUGAAGUGAAAGGCAUGGGCUCAACCUGUGGACUGCUUUGGAAACUGUAGUGCUAGAGUGUCGGAGAGGCAAGUGGAAUUCCUAGUGUAGCGGUGAAAUGCGUAGAUAUUAGGAGGAACACCAGUGGCGAAGGCGGCUUGCUGGACGAUGACUGACGUUGAGGCUCGAAAGCGUGGGGAGCAAACAGG